rnacentral:rRNA from 1 species
GAUGAACGCUGGCGGCGUGCCUAAUACAUGCAAGUCGAGCGAACGGACGAGAAGCUUGCUUCUCUGAUGUUAGCGGCGGACGGGUGAGUAACACGUGGAUAACCUACCUAUAAGACUGGGAUAACUUCGGGAAACCGGAGCUAAUACCGGAUAAUAUUUUGAACCGCAUGGUUCAAAAGUGAAAGACGGUCUUGCUGUCACUUAUAGAUGGAUCCGCGCUGCAUUAGCUAGUUGGUAAGGUAACGGCUUACCAAGGCAACGAUGCAUAGCCGACCUGAGAGGGGGAGCGGCCACACGGGAACUGAGACACGGUCCAGACUCCUACGGGAGGCAGCAGUAGGGAAUCUUCCGCAAUGGGCGAAAGCCUGACGGAGCAACGCCGCGUGAGUGAUGAAGGUCUUCGGAUCGUAAAACUCUGUUAUUAGGGAAGAACAUAUGUGUAAGUAACUGUGCACAUCUUGACGGUACCUAAUCAGAAAGCCACGGCUAACUACGUG